UGGGGAAUAUUGCACAAUGGGCGCAAGCCUGAUGCAGCCAUGCCGCGUGUGUGAAGAAGGCCUUCGGGUUGUAAAGCACUUUCAGCGAGGAGGAAGGUGGUGAGCUUAAUACGCUCAUCAAUUGACGUUACUCGCAGAAGAAGCACCGGCUAACCCCGUGCCAGCAGCCGCGGUAAUACGGAGGGUGCAAGCGUUAAUCGGAAUUACUGGGCGUAAAGCGCACGCAGGCGGUUUGUUAAGUCAGAUGUGAAAUCCCCGGGCUCAACCUGGGAACUGCAUUUGAAACUGGCAAGCUAGAGUCUCGUAGAGGGGGGUAGAAUUCCAGGUGUAGCGGUGAAAUGCGUAGAGAUCUGGAGGAAUACCGGUGGCGAAGGCGGCCCCCCUGGACGAAGACUGACGCUCAGGUGCGAAAGCGUGGGGCAGCAAACAGGAUUAGAUACCCUGGUAGUCCACGCUGUAAACGAUGUCGAUUUGGAGGUUGUGCCCUUGAGGCGUGGCUUCCGGAGCUAACGCGUUAAAUCGACCGCCUGGGGAGUACGGCCGCAAGGUUAAAACUUAAAUGAAUUGACGGGGUCAUAGCUGUUUCCU
rnacentral:rRNA from 1 species